rnacentral:rRNA from 1 species
CGCUAUCAUUCCUACGGGAGGCAGCAUGGGGGAAUAUGCACAAUGGGCGCAAGCCUGAUGCAGCCAUGCCGCGUGUGUGAAGAAGGGUUUCGGCUCGUAAAGCUCUGUUGUUAAAGAAGAACACGUAUGAGAGUAACUGUUCAUACGUUGACGGUAUUUAACCAGAAAGUCACGGCUAACUACGUGCCAGCAGCCGCGGUAAUACGUAGGUGGCAAGCGUUAUCCGGAUUUAUUGGGCGUAAAGAGAGUGCAGGCGGUUUUCUAAGUCUGAUGUGAAAGCCUUCGGCUUAACCGGAGAAGUGCAUCGGAAACUGGAUAACUUGAGUGCAGAAGAGGGUAGUGGAACUCCAUGUGUAGCGGUGGAAUGCGUAGAUAUAUGGAAGAACACCAGUGGCGAAGGCGGCUACCUGGUCUGCAACUGACGCUGAGACUCGAAAGCAUGGGUAGCGAACAGGAUUAGAUACCCUGGUAG